CACUCCUACGGGAGGCAGCAGUGGGGAAUAUUGCACAAUGGGCGCAAGCCUGAUGCAGCCAUGCCGCGUGUAUGAAGAAGGCCUUCGGGUUGUAAAGUACUUUCAGCGGGGAGGAAGGCAAUACGGUUAAUAACCGUGUUGAUUGACGUUACCCGCAGAAGAAGCACCGGCUAACUCCGUGCCAGCAGCCGCGGUAAUACGGAGGGUGCAAGCGUUAAUCGGAAUUACUGGGCGUAAAGCGCACGCAGGCGGUCUGUCAAGUCGGAUGUGAAAUCCCCGGGCUCAACCUGGGAACUGCAUUCGAAACUGGCAGGCUUGAGUCUUGUAGAGGGGGGUAGAAUUCCAGGUGUAGCGGUGAAAUGCGUAGAGAUCUGGAGGAAUACCGGUGGCGAAGGCGGCCCCCUGGACAAAGACUGACGCUCAGGUGCGAAAGCGUGGGGAGCAAACAGGAUUAGAAACCCCAGUAGUCCC
rnacentral:rRNA from 1 species